UACGGAGGGUGCUAGCGUUGUUCGGAAUUACUGGGCGUAAAGCGCACGUAGGCGGUUAUUCAAGUCAGAGGUGAAAGCCCCAGUGCUCAACACUGGAACUGCCUUUGAAACUAGAUAGCUUGAAUCCAGGAGAGGUGAGUGGAAUUCCGAGUGUAGAGGUGAAAUUCGUAGAUAUUCGGAAGAACACCAGUGGCGAAGGCGGCUCACUGGACUGGUAUUGACGCUGAGGUGCGAAAGCGUGGGGAGCAAACAGG
rnacentral:rRNA from 1 species